rnacentral:snRNA from 1 species
CAGUUUGCGUAGACGCGAUAACGUGAUCAAUGAGGCUCAAGCGAGGCGCGUUCACUGCUGGUUGAAAACGUUUCCCAAUCAAUUUCCCAUUUGAUGGCCCCUGGAACACGGGUGCCAUACGCAAUUUUUGAACGCUCCAAUGAAG